GGAGGAAAGCAGGGGAUCGUAAGACCUCGCGCUAUUGGAGCGGCCGAUGUCCGAUUAGCUAGUUGGUGGGGUAAUGGCCCAUCAAGGCAACGAUCGGUAGCUGGUCUGAGAGGAUGAUCAGCCACACUGGGACUGAGACACGGCCCAGACUCCUACGGGAGGCAGCAGUGGGGAAUUUUGGACAAUGGGCGCAAGCCUGAUCCAGCCAUGCCGCGUGAGUGAAGAAGGCCUUCGGGUUGUAAAGCUCUUUCAGCCGGGAAGAAAAGGUUGCGACUAAUAAUCGCAAUUCAUGACGGUACCGAAAGAAGAAGCACCGGCUAACUACGUGCCAGCAGCCGCGGUAAUACGUAGGGUGCGAGCGUUAAUCGGAAUUACUGGGCGUAAAGGGUGCGCAGGCGGUUUUGUAAGUCAGAUGUGAAAUCCCCGGGCUUAACCUGGGAACUGCGUUUGAAACUACAAGGCUAG
rnacentral:rRNA from 1 species